rnacentral:pre_miRNA from 1 species
AUCACUCAAGGAUCUUCCUGAAAUGCAGAUUCUAAUCCAGGUCUGCAGUAAGGCCAGAGAUUCUGCAUUUCUAGCAAGCUCCCAGGUGGUGCCAA